rnacentral:rRNA from 1 species
UUUCCUACGGGAGGCAGCAGUGGGGAAUAUUGCACAAUGGGGGAAACCCUGAUGCAGCGACGCCGCGUGAGUGAAGAAGUAUUUCGGUAUGUAAAGCUCUAUCAGCAGGGAAGAAGAAGGACGGUACCUGAGUAAGAAGCCCCGGCUAACUACGUGCCAGCAGCCGCGGUAAUACGUAGGUGGCAAGCGUUGUCCGGAUUUACUGGGUGUAAAGGGCGUGCAGCCGGGCUGACAAGUCAGAUGUGAAAUCCCGCGGCUCAACCGCGGAACUGCAUUUGAAACUGUCAGUCUUGAGUACCGGAGAG